GCUCUCUCCGGCUUCCCGGCGCUCUUCUCCCCGCCUCCACGCCUGUUGCCUCGUCUGGCGUUCUCUCCUCCAGUCUCCAUGGACGCUUGCACAGAACGACGAGUAGCAGCACACAACCACGAGCAGCAGUGAGAGAAGAAUAUGCAUCCAUCCAUGGACCAAGAUGCAGGCUCUGAGAACGUCAAAAAAGAAAGAAAGAAAGUUGCAGGCUCUGGCUGCAUGGUGCUGUUAAUCCACGGUUCAGGGUAGACGACGCGUCGCGGGGCAGGAGCAGUAUGAGGGCGGCGGCCCUCGCUGCCGGAGACCUGCAUGGAGUCAGCGGCCAUGCUGCUCGGGGACGGCGUGAUACGACCUGCAAAAGCACCAUGGACGAGCUGUUGUUGUCUGAGGCGACGAAGGGAAGGGUCAGUUCGUCCGCGCCGCGUUGUACGACGCGUCCCUGCAGCCGUGGUCAUCGAAGCCACAGCGGCAACGCACAUCACAGCAACGCGGUGGCCGACUGCAGAGCACAAGCAGCAGCGGUAGCACACAUCACGGAAUUAUGAUGGCCGAUAGCAGAGCACAACCUCAGAUGUAACCGCCGCGGGAGGGGGAGCGGGACAGAGAUGACUCACCUCACCGGGAUGUAGUUGUCGCGGACGACAAGGACCGUCGGCCGUCGAGGACAACCAAGCGCGACUCGCCACCGAGUAGCCGCCGCGGUCUCCUGGUGUUGCUGUCGACGAGAGGAAGGGGAUGAGACGAGCGACCGAGAGCUCCUCUCCUGUUCCUGGUCAAUCUGGGAGCAUGGCUAUUUUGGUCAUCAUAUGCGGGACCCAUUUGACAGAGGGCAAAAAAUCAAAGUCUAAUAUAAAGAGUGGCAUUAGAUCAA